rnacentral:snRNA from 1 species
UGCCAGAAGCAGUGGCAGUAUCAUAGCCAAUGAGGUUAAUCCGAGGCAUGAUUAUUGCUAAUUGUAAACUAUGCAUGAUAUUAAUCCAAAGGCUUAUGAUUUGCAACAUAGUUCACUGG